rnacentral:rRNA from 1 species
UACAGAGGGUGCGAGCGUUAAUCGGAAUUACUGGGCGUAAAGCGCGCGUAGGUGGCGGCGUAAGUCGGGUGUGAAAGCCCGGGGCUCAACCUGGGAACUGCCUUCGAUACUGCAUUGCUGGAGUACGGAAGAGGAGGGCGGAAUUCCGGGUGUAGAGGUGAAAUGCGUAGAUAUUCGGCGGAACAUCAGUGGCGAAGGCGGCCCGCUGGUCCGUUUCUGACGCUCAGGCGCGAAAGCGUGGGGAGCAAACAGG